ACACGACUACAUUAGAUACCCGGGUAGUCCCAGCCGUAAACAAUGUGCGUUAGGUGUGUCGGUAACCACGCGUUACUGAUGCGCCGAAGAGAAAUCGUGUAACGCACCACCUGGGAAGUACGGUCGCAAGGCUGAAACUUAAAGGAAUUGGCGGGGAGCACCACAACAGGUGGAGCCUGCGGUUUAAUUGGAUUCAACGCCGGACAUCUCACCGGAUAAGACAGCUGAAUGAUUGUCAAUCUGAAGGUUUUACAUGACUAGCUG
rnacentral:rRNA from 1 species